rnacentral:sRNA from 1 species
AAACGAUGUCCCGCAGCUGUUGAGGCUGA